rnacentral:tRNA from 1 species
CAUCUUUGAGAAUUCAUCGUAGUACUUAAGUAUUAGUUAGAGCUUAAUACCUCCUCAAAGAAU